rnacentral:rRNA from 1 species
GACGAACGCUGGCGGCGUGCCUAAUACAUGCAAGUCGAGCGCAGGAAACUGACGGAACUCUUCGGAGGGAAGACAGUGGAAUGAGCGGCGGACGGGUGAGUAACACGUAAGGAACCUGCCUCAAGGAUUGGGAUAACUCCGAGAAAUCGGAGCUAAUACCGGAUAGUUCAUCGGACCGCAUGGGCCGUUGCUGAAAGGCGCUUCGGCGACACCUUGAGGUGGCCUUGCGGUGCAUUAGCUAGUUGGUGGGGUAAUGGCCCACCAAGGCGACGAUGCAUAGCCGACCUGAGAGGGUGAUCGGCCACACUGGGACUGAGACACGGCCCAGACUCCUACGGGAGGCAGCAGUAGGGAAUCUUCCACAAUGGACGAAAGUCUGAUGGAGCAACGCCGCGUGGGUGAUGAAGGUUUUCGGAUCGUAAAACUCUGUUGUAAGGGAAGAACACGUACGAGAGGAAAUGCUCGUACCUUGACGGUACCUUACGAGAAAGCCACGGCUAACUACGUGCCAGCCGCCGCCGUAAGAC